rnacentral:misc_RNA from 1 species
UUGCGGGUUCGAGUCCCG